UACGUAGGGUGCAAGCGUUAAUCGGAAUUACUGGGCGUAAAGCGUGCGCAGGCGGUUAUGUAAGACAGAUGUGAAAUGCCCGGGCUUAACCUGGGAACUGCAUUUGUGACCGCAUGGCUAGAGUUUGGCAGAGGGGGGUAGAACUCCACGUGUAGCAGUGAAAUGCGUAGAUAUGUGGAGGAACACCGAUGGCGAAGGCAGCCCCCUGGGUCAAGACUGACGCUCAUGCACGAAAGCGUGGGGAGCAAACAGG
rnacentral:rRNA from 1 species